UUCUCCAGGAGUUUAGAGUAGGGUGAGAGAAGAAAAGAAAACUGAGAAAAAUUCAAAGCUUUCCCGAAUAGGUAGCAAAGUUGGAAGCCACUGACGACGACGGCAAAAAGAAAGUAAAAGUGAAGAAGUGCGGCAUCUUUUAAUCGAGUGGCUUAAAAUUAAAAGAAAUUAAAAAUAAAGUAAAGUUCAUAUAAGAACAUAUAUGGUGGUAUAUAAAAUAAAAUAAAUAUAUAUAAAUUCAAAUAUACGGUGAAGUAGCCAGUAGCCCAGCUAUACAUAAUACGGAAGUAACAGAAUAAAAGAUACGGCGCUUGCAAAGAUCCCUACUCGAGCUCCGAAUUGACGGACAGGGUCCAGGCGGUGGAUGGUAGAAUCUAGAGGAUAAAACAGAAGAUACAUUUAAAGAAACAUAAAUCGAAAAAUUUAGUUCGGGAAAUUUAAAGGCCCGAGACUCGCGAAGUAGGCAAGGCUAGUCACUGUAGCAUAACCGUUGAUCCGCAGGCAGCGGUCAAAACGGUCAAGCCAAACAAAGAGGCCACACAAGAGUCUGCACAGGAGGAGCAUCAUAUUUGAAUUCAGCAAGAAGCAGAAAUUUGUAAUUUUAAUCUUUAUCAUUUUUUGGCGUGAUUUGUAUUUAAUUAUUUGUAGUUUUGUUGUUGAUUCAUUUCAUGUGAAGAAGUUAAUUAACUAUAUAAAAUAAUUUACAAAAACAAAAAGUAAAAGAGGUACACAGGGUCGGGUCGUACACUGUCGCGUAGUCGCGUUGCCGUUGAGGUAGAAUUAAAGUUCCGACAGUAGGCUACUUUAACCGAGCUCGAUUAGGGUAGGGCUGUUAGGGAGUGAACCGAGUUGGCCUUAGGCAAAAGUUAAUUUACCGUGGUGUCCAAAAAAAGUAGUACACCCACACAAAAAGUAAUUAAUAAUUUUUGGCGACGGGAUCGAACCCGACUACUGGUUUUUUUUUGAAAUUAAAAUAAAAUAAAAAA